AUUGAACGCUGGCGGCAUGCCUAACACAUGCAAGUCGAACGAGAGGCGGACGGGUGAGUAAUAUAGCGGAACGUGCCCAAUAGCGGGGGAUAACUACUCGAACAGGUGGCUAAUACCGCAUACUAUGGGAUCGGCCGAUAUCGGAGUAGCUAGUCGGUGGGGUAAAGGCUAUCCAAGGCAACUAUCCUUAGCUGGUCUGAGAGGACGAUCGGCCACACUGGGACUGAGACACGGCCCAGACUCCAACGGGAGGCAGCAGUAGGGAAUUUUGGACAAUGGGCGAAAGCCUGAUCCAGCCAUCCCGCGUGUAUUAGGAAGGCUUUAGGGUUGUAAAGUACUUUUGUUAGAGAAGCGGUAUCUGAAGAAUAAGCACCGGCUAACUACGUGCCAGCAGCCGCGGUAAUAC
rnacentral:rRNA from 1 species